rnacentral:rRNA from 1 species
GGAUGAACGCUGGCGGCGUGCCUAAUACAUGCAAGUCGAGCGAACAGAUAAGGAGCUUGCUCCUUUGACGUUAGCGGCGGACGGGUGAGUAACACGUGGGUAACCUACCUAUAAGACUGGAAUAACUCCGGGAAACCGGGGCUAAUGCCGGAUAAUAUUUAGAACCGCAUGGUUCUAAAGUGAAAGAUGGUUUUACUAUCACUUAUAGAUGGACCCGCGCCGUAUUAGCUAGUUGGUGGGGUAAUGGCUUACCAAGGCAACGAUACGUAGCCGACCUGAGAGGGUGAUCGGCCACACUGGAACUGAGACACGGUCCAGACUCCUACGGGAGGCAGCAGUAGGGAAUCUUCCGCAAUGGGCGAAAGCCUGACGGAGCAACGCCGCGUGAGUGAUGAAGGUCUUCGGAUCGUAAAACUCUGUUAUUAGGGAAGAACAAAUGUGUAAGUAACUGUGCACGUCUUGACGGUACCUAAUCGGAAAGCCACGGCUAACUACGUGCCAGCAGCCGCGGU